rnacentral:rRNA from 1 species
GACGAACGCUGGCGGCGUGCUUAACACAUGCAAGUCGAACGGAGUGGCGAACGGGUGAGUAACACGUGGGUGACCUGCCCUGCACUUCGGGAUAAGCCUGGGAAACUGGGGCUAAUACCGGAUAGUGUGGGAUGGGCCCGCGGACUAUCAGCUUGUUGGUCGGGUAGUGGUCUACCAAGGGGGGGACGGGUAGCCGGCCUGAGAGGGUGGACGGCCACAUAGGGGCGGAGGCACGCCCCAGACUCCUACGGGAGGCAGCAGGGGAGAAUAGUGCACAAGGGGCGGACGUCUCAUGCAGCGACGCAGCGUGGGGGAUGACGGCCUUCGGGUUUGAAACUCCUUUAACCGUCGACGCGGUAGAUGGAUAAGAAGCACCGGCUAACUACGUGCCAGCCGCCGCGGUAAUAC